rnacentral:rRNA from 1 species
GACGAACGCUGGCGGCGUGCUUAACACAUGCAAGUCGAACGGUGAAGCGCCUUCCUUUUUGGUGGGUGUGGAUGAGUGGCGAACGGGUGAGUAACACGUGAGUAACCUGCCCCCUUCUUCUGGAUAACCGCAUGAAAGUGUGGCUAAUACGGGAUAUUCUGGGUCUGUCGCAUGAUGGGUCUGGGAAAGAUAUUGUUUCGGUGGGGGAUGGGCUCGCGGCCUAUCAGCUUGUUGGUGGGGUGAUGGCCUACCAAGGCGGUGACGGGUAGCCGGCCUGAGAGGGUGGACGGUCACACUGGGAAUGAGACACGGCCCAGACUACGACGGGAGGCAGCAGUGGGGAAUAGUGCACAAUGGGCGCAAGCCUGAUGCAGCGACGCCGCGUGAGGGAUGGAGGCCUGCGGGUUGUGAACCUCUUUCGCCAGUGAAGCAGGCCUGCCUCGUUUGUGGGUGGGUUGACGGUAGCUGGAGAAGAAGCGCCGGCUAACUACGUG